rnacentral:rRNA from 1 species
CAGCCGCCGCGGGAAUACGUAGGUCCCGAGCGUUGUCCGGAUUUAUUGGGCGUAAAGCGAGCGCAGGCGGUUAGAUAAGUCUGAAGUUAAAGGCUGUGGCUUAACCAUAGUACGCUUUGGAAACUGUUUAACUUGAGUGCAGAAGGGGAGAGUGGAAUUCCAUGUGUAGCGGUGAAAUGCGUAGAUAUAUGGAGGAACACCAGUGGCGAAAGCGGCUCUCUGGUCUGUAACUGACGCUGAGGCUCGAAAGCGUGGGGAGCGAACAGGAUUAGAUACCCCUGUAGUCCCUGUCUCUUAUACA